rnacentral:rRNA from 1 species
GGGCCCGCACAAGCGGUGGAGCAUGUGGUUUAAUUCGAUGAUACGCGAGGAACCUUACCAGGGCUUAAAUGUAAGUUGCAUUAGUUAGAGAUAGCUAUUUCUUCGGACUACUUACAAGGUGCUGCAUGGUUGUCGUCAGCUCGUGCCGUGAGGUGUCAGGUUAAGUCCUAUAACGAGCGCAACCCCUAUCGUUAGUUGCCAUCAAGUAAAGUUGGGAACUCUAGCGAAACUGCCGGUGCAAACCGUGAGGAAGGUGGGGAUGACGUCAAAUCAUCACGGCCCUUACGUCCUGGGCUACACACGUGCUACAAUGGUCGGUACAGAGAGCAGCCACUACGCGAGUAGGAGCGAAUCUUCAAAGCCGAUCACAGUUCGGAUCGGAGUCUGCAACUCGACUCCGUGAAGCUGGAAUC